rnacentral:lncRNA from 1 species
UCUGUCUUCUCCAAAAGUCCAUGAAGCAUUUAGCCAAAAAUCACCAAGAAUUUUCUAGACUCAUUUACCUGUAAAUGAGCAGGGACCUUGCAAUUAUCCAGUAAAACUCCUCCUUCAGUGCCUGGGAACAGCUUAAGCCAGUGGUGGCGAACCCGUGGCAUGUAUGCUGCAGCCAGAUGUUUGUACCAUUGAAAGCUCUAAAAGGUUCACUGUCACUGGAGCAUUGAACUAUUGUUCUGGAGGCUGAGAUGUCCAAGACCAAGAUGCCAACUUUAUUGGCUAUUAUUGUUACCACAUGAAAGAUGAGCCACA